UUGAAAACCUAAAUGCAGGAUCUAAAAUCAUAAAGUGGACAUAAAUGCUUUCUUACAGUGACAUAAAAAAACUGAAAAUACACACAUUUGACUUUUUUCUUAAAAAGUGAUGCAUUAGAUGAAAUAAUUGUCAGAAUAAUUCAAACCCAAUUUGCUGUUGCUGUCAGCUGUUUUGUGUAGGUAUUAUGUUUGAAAAUGAGUUAGAAGACCAAAUGCAGUUGUCUUUUGUGCUUUUUUUUAAUUGACUUUUAUUUCUAAAAAUGUAAUUCUCAGUACCUCAGCUAAAAUGCUGUGCAAUUAUGUCUCACUGGGGCAUUCAACAGACUCACUGUCAAAACAACCACUUGUGAUUUCUGCUGUUAAAGUUUUGCAGAGGUUUUAGCUAAGUGUGUGUACAUGUGUAAUUGUGGUGCAUAACCUUUCAUGCUUCUGUUUAAAUUGCUUGAAGCGGACCAGCGGUCAUCAAGCUUUCUGUAUCAGCAGAACGAUGGUGCCGCCGCUGUUUGCUAACAUGGUUCACUUUGUGUGUCUCUGCAGGGGGAGGUGGUGCACUGGCUGGCCUGUUGGCUGGAUGCAGCCUGCAGGAAGGGCUCCACUCCCACAGUGGGUAAAGGACUGAUGGAGGGAGGAUCCUUCACUCGUCCAAACUCAGUCUGAUCCAGUUCUUCUCUAAGAUGAGGAAGUGGGCCGACAUGUCCAACCUCUCGCAGGACUUCAGGCUACAAAUGGAUGGCUGGAGCGAAACUUUGAGGUCUCCACCGUGAUCUUCCGCAAGUUUGAUGUCUUGAUUUAGUAAUGAGUCGUGGCCCCUCCAGUCAGGAAGCAGCAGCGGAG